UACAGAGGUGCCAAGCGUUGUUCGGAUUUAUUGGGCGUAAAGGGUGCGUAGGCGGUUGUGCAAGUCGGGUGUGAAAUUCCGGAGCCUAACUCCGGAACUGCAUUCGAAACUGCACAGCUCGAGGUCUGGAGAGGUGACUGGAAUUCUUGGUGUAGCAGUGAAAUGCGUAGAUAUCAAGAGGAACACCAGAGGCGAAAGCGAGUCACUGGACAGAACCUGACGCUGAGGCACGAAAGCUAGGGUAGCAAACGGG
rnacentral:rRNA from 1 species